GCUGCGAUGGCCGAGUGGUUAAGGCGUUGGACUUGAAAUCCAAUGGGGGCGCAGGUUCGAACCCUGCUCACAGCG